rnacentral:rRNA from 1 species
GACGAAAACCUUACCUACCCUUGACAUGUCUGGAAUCCCGCAGAGAUGUGGGAGUGCCCAAAAGGAACCAGAACACAGGUGCUGCAUGGCCGUCGUCAGCUCGUGUCGUGAGAUGUUGGGUUAAGUCCCGCAACGAGCGCAACCCUUGUCAUUAGUUGCUACGAAAGGGCACUCUAAUGAGACUGCCGGUGACAAACCGGAGGAAGGUGGGGAUGACGUCAGGUCAUCAUGGCCCUUAUGGGUAGGGCUACACACGUCAUACAAUGGCCGGUACAGAGGGCUGCCAACCCGCGAGGGGGAGCCAAUCCCAGAAAACCGGUCGUAGUCCGGAUUGCAGUCUGCAACUCGACUGCAUGAAGUCGGAAUCGCUAGUAAUCGCGGAUCAGCUUGCCGCGGUGAAUACGUUCCCGGGUCUUGUACACACCGCCCGUCACACCAUGGGAGCGGGUUCUGCCAGAAGUAGUUAGCCUAACCGCAAGGAGGGCGAUUACCACGGCAGGGUUCGUGACUGGGGUGAAGUCGUAACAAGGUAGGCGUACUACA